UUAAAGGAAUUGACGGGGACCCGCACAAGCGGUGGAUGAUGUGGAUUAAUUCGAUGCAACGCGAAAAACCUUACCUACCCUUGACAUGUUCGGAAUUCCGCAGAGAUGUGGAAGUGCUCGAAAGAGAACCGGAACACAGGUGCUGCAUGGCUGUCGUCAGCUCGUGUCGUGAGAUGUUGGGUUAAGUCCCGCAACGAGCGCAACCCUUGUCAUUAGUUGCUACGAAAGGGCACUCUAAUGAGACUGCCGGUGACAAACCGGAGGAAGGUGGGGAUGACGUCAAGUCCUCAUGGCCCUUAUGGGUAGGGCUUCACACGUCAUACAAUGGUCGGUACAGAGGGCUGCCAACCCGCAAGGGGGAGCCAAUCCCUUAAAACCGAUCGUAGUCCGGAUUGAGGUCUGCAACUCGACCUCAUGAAGUCGGAAUCGCUAGUAAUCGCGGAUCAGCAUGUCGCGGUGAAUACGUUCCCGGGUCUU
rnacentral:rRNA from 1 species